GUGAGGAAUAUUGGGCAAUGGGCGAAAGCCUGACCCAGCCACGCCGCGUGAGUGAUGAAGGCCUUCGGGUUGUAAAGCUCUGUGGGGAGGGAAGAAAAAGCGCAGGAGUAACUGCCUGUGUGUUGACGGUACCUCCUUAGCAAGCACCGGCUAACUCUGUGCCAGCAGCCGCGGUAAUACAGAGGGUGCAAACGUUGCUCGGAAUUACUGGGCGUAAAGCGCGUGUAGGCUGACAUGCAAGUCGGGUGUGAAAUCCCAGGGCUCAACCUUGGAACUGCACUCGAAACUGCACGUCUUGAGUACUGGAGAGGGAAGCGGAAUUCCGGGUGUAGAGGUGAAAUUCGUAGAUAUCCGGAGGAACACCAGUGGCGAAGGCGGCUUCCUGGACAGUAACUGACGCUGAGACGCGAAAGCGUGGGGAGCAAACAGGAUUAGAUACCCCAGUAGUCC
rnacentral:rRNA from 1 species